AAGAGUAUGAGGGAAAAAUGGAAAAGAGGGACUGGCAGGGACAAAGAAGGGGAUUGAAACUUUAUUUUAGAAAACAGAUGGAGAAAUCAAGGCGCAAAGAGGUUAAGAAGCUUGCCCAGGGUUUGCCGGGACAUAGAUGGGAGUACUAAUUCACAACUAGAUGGAGAACCUGAUACAAGCAAGCAGAACUCUGGAAGGCAACAUCUUGAGAGCCCUGAAGUGACAAUGGGAUUCUGGGAAAGUCAAUUCCUGGAGCCCAGUCUCUUUAUCUGCAAAAUGGAAAUAAUUAUUACAAUGGAGCCUCUCCUGCCUGCUGGGCGGCAUCACAGGAGACAGUGUUUUAGAAAGUCCUCUGUAUGUUUGAGGUAGCAUUAACACCACCUCCCCCUGCCCCCCGCCAAUAAGGGCCUACAAAAGAAACAGCCAGGGAAACUGAGUCAGUAAGCACUGGAUUUGGGAGUUUGAGUAUUUCCAAGCAGAAGUCAUGAGGUCAAACUUUGUAAUACUAAUAAAUAGGAAGAAGCACAGGAAUCCCAUUUCUUUGAUCAACUUAUUAAUUUUUUAGUAAAUUCUCUCUCAUCAAUUGUGCUAUAAUGUUUUUGCAUCCCAGAAAGUUUUAUACAAUAUCUUGUGUUUCAUGCUCCUUGUUCAUCAAUAUAAU
rnacentral:lncRNA from 1 species